UACGUAGGGGGGCAAGCGUUGUUCGGAAUUACUGGGCGUAAAGGGCGCGUAGGCGGCACGGCAAGUCAGGAGUGAAAGGCCUGGGCUCAACCGAGGAACUGCUUUUGAGACUGCCGAGCUAGAGUGCGGAAGGGGGCAACCGGAAUUCCCAGUGUAGCGGUGAAAUGCGUAGAUAGUUGGGAAGAACACCGGUGGCGAAGGCGGGUCUCUGGGCCGAUACUGACGCUGAGGAGCGAAAGCGUGGGGAGCGAACAGG
rnacentral:rRNA from 1 species